rnacentral:rRNA from 1 species
UACGUAGGGUCCGAGCGUUGUCCGGAAUCACUGGGCGUAAAGAGCUCGUAGGCGGUCUGUCACGUCGGCUGUGAAAACCCGGGGCUCAACCCCGGGCCUGCAGUCGAUACGGGCAGACUAGAGUGCGGUAGGGGAGACUGGAAUUCCUGGUGUAGCGGUGAAAUGCGCAGAUAUCAGGAGGAACACCGGUGGCGAAGGCGGGUCUCUGGGCCGUAACUGACGCUGAGGAGCGAAAGCGUGGGGAGCGAACAGG